AGAGUUUGAUCAUGGCUCAGGAUGAACGCUAGCUACAGGCUUAACACAUGCAAGUCGAGGGGCAGCAUGGUCUUAGCUUGCUAAGACCGAUGGCGACCGGCGCACGGGUGAGUAACGCGUAUCCAACCUGCCUUACACUCUUGGACAGCCUUCUGAAAGGGAGAUUAAUACAAGAUGUUAUCAUGAGUAAGCAUUUUCACAUGAUUAAAGGUUUACCGGUGUAAGAUGGGGAUGCGUUCCAUUAGAUAGUAGGCGGGGUAACGGCCACCUAGUCUUCGAUGGAUAGGGGUUCUGAGAGGAAGGUCCCCCANAUUGGAACUGGAGACACGGUACCAAACUCCGUACGGGAGGCA
rnacentral:rRNA from 1 species